rnacentral:rRNA from 1 species
GACGAACGCUGGCGGCGUGCCUAAUACAUGCAAGUCGAACGCAGUGGGGACGGGUGAGUAACACGUGGGUAACCUCCCAUCAGAGGGGAUAAACGUUGGAAACAGGUGCUAAACCGAUAUUGAUGUAUGGACCCGCGGUGCAGUAGCUAGUUGGUGAGGUAACGGCUAACCAAGGCCAAGAUGCAUAGCCGAUCUGAGAGGUUGAUCGGCCACACUGGGACUGAGACACGGCCCAGACUCCUACGUGAGGCAGCAGGAGGGAAUCGUCGGCAAUGGACGAAAGUCGGACCGAGCAACGCCGCGUGAGUGAAGAAGGUUUUCGGAUCGUAAAACUCUGUUGUUAGAGAAGCGGUAUCUAACCAGAAAGCCACGGCUAACUACGUGCCAGCAGCCGCGGUAAUAC